rnacentral:rRNA from 1 species
UACGUAGGUGACCAGCGUUGUCCGGAUUUACUGGGCGUAAAGCGCACGUAGGCGGUUUGUUAAGUCGGAUGUGAAAUCCCUCGGCUCAACUGAGGAAGUGCAUCCGAAACUGGCAAGCUUGAGUACGAAAGAGGAUCGCGGAAUUCCCGGUGUAGAGGUGAAAUUCGUAGAUAUCGGGAGGAACACCGGUGGCGAAGGCGGCGAUCUGGGUCGAUACUGACGCUGAGGUGCGAAAGCGUGGGGAGCAAACAGG